rnacentral:tRNA from 1 species
UCCAAUGUGGUGAAAUGGUAAACACGUUACUUUAAGGAAGUAAUGAUUUAACUCUUGUGGGUUCAAGUCCCGCCAUUGGAA